rnacentral:rRNA from 1 species
UACGGUAGGGUGCAAGCGUUAUCCGGAAUUAUUGGGCGUAAAGAGCUCGUAGGCGGUUUGUCGCGUCUGCUAGUGAAAACUGGAGGCUCAACCUCCAGCCUGCAGUGGGUACGGGCAGACUAGAGUGGCAGUUAGGGGAGAGUUAGGAAUUCCUGGUGUAGCGGUGAAAUGCGCAGAUAUCAGGAGGAACACCGGUGGCGAAGGCGGGUCUCUGGGCCGAUACUGACGUGGAGGAGCGAAAGCGUGGGGAGCGAACAGG